rnacentral:rRNA from 1 species
AUUGAACGCUAGCGGCAUGCCUUACACAUGCAAGUCGAACGGUAACAGGUCUUCGGAUGCUGACGAGUGGCGAACGGGUGAGUAAUACAUCGGAACGUGCCUAGUAGUGGGGGAUAACUACUCGAAAGAGUGGCUAAUACCGCAUGAGAUCUACGGAUGAAAGCAGGGGAUCGCAAGACCUUGUGCUACUAGAGCGGCCGAUGGCAGAUUAGGUAGUUGGUGGGAUAAAAGCUUACCAAGCCGACGAUCUGUAGCUGGUCUGAGAGGACGAUCAGCCACACUGGGAAUGAGAAAAGGCCCAGACUCCGACGGGAGGCAGCAGUGGGGAAUUUUGGACAAUGGGCGCAAGCCUGAUUCAGCAAUGCCGCGUGCAGGAUGAAGGCCUUCGGGUUGUAAACUGCUUUUGUACGGAACGAAAAGCCCCGGGUUAAUACCCUGGGGUCAUGACGGUACCGUAAGAAUAAGCACCGGCUAACUACGUGCCAGCCGCCGCCGUAA